rnacentral:rRNA from 1 species
AAUAGAUACCCAGGUAGUCCACGCCGUAAACGAUGGAUACUAGCUGUUGGAGGUAUCGACCCCUUCAGUAGCGAAGCUAACGCGUUAAGUAUCCCGCCUGUGGAGUACGGUCGCAAGACUAAAACAUAAAGGAAUUGACGGGGACCCGCACAAGCGGUGGAUCAUGUUCUUUAAUUCGAUGCUAAACGAAGAACCUUACCAGGGCUUGACAUCCCGAGAAUUUCUCCGAAAGGAGAGAGUGCUUUUAGAACUCGGUGACAGAUGUUGCAUGGCCGUCGUCAGCUCGUGUCGUGAGAUGUUUGGUUAAGUCCAUCAACGAGCGCAACCCUUGUGAAUAGUUGUAUUUUUCUAUUCAGACUGCCCCGGCAACGGGGAGGAAGGAGGGGAUGAUGUCAGGUCAGUAUUACUCUUACAUCCUGGGCUAGAAACGUGAUACAAUGGCAGGUACAAUGCGCAGCGAAGCCGCGAGGUGAAGCAAAUCGCACCAAGCCUGUCCCAGUUCGGAUUGGAGGCUGAAACUCGCCUCCA